GCCUCUGAUGGUGUAGUUGGUCAUCACGUUCGGCUGCAAUUGAGAAAUUGUUACCGAAAGGUGUAAGUUCAAUAUCACCAUCGUGUUAGAACCA